rnacentral:rRNA from 1 species
AGGUUACAAAUCUGGCUGUCGUGAUGCCUAAAAAGCAUUGCAUAGCAAGGGCCGGGCAAGACCGGUGCCAGCCGCCGCGGUAACACCGGCGGCUCGAGUGGUAACCGUUAUUAUUGGGUCUAAAGGGUCUGUAGCCGGCCGGAUAAGUCUCUUGAGAAAUCCGGCAGCUCAACUGUUGGGCUUUCAGGAGAUACUGUCUGGCUCGAGGCCGGGAGAGGUGAGAGGUACUUCAGGGGUAGGGGUGAAAUCUUGUAAUCCUUGAAGGACCACCAGUGGCGAAGGCGUCUCACCAGAACGGACCUGACGGCAAGGGACGAAAGCUAGGGGCACGAACCGGAUUAGAUACCCGGGUAGUCCUAGCCGUAAACGAUACUCGCUAGGUGUCGGCCACGGUGCGACCGUUGUCGGUGCCGUAGGGAAGCCGUGAAGCGAGCCACCUGGGAAGUACGGCCGCAAGGCUGAAACUUAAAGGAAUUGGCGGGGGAGCACCACAACGGGUGGAGCUUGCGGU